rnacentral:rRNA from 1 species
AUUGAACGCUGGCGGCAUGCUUUACACAUGCAAGUCGAACGGCAGCGCGGGCUUCGGCCUGGCGGCGAGUGGCGAACGGGUGAGUAAUAUAUCGGAACGUACCCAAGAGUGGGGGAUAACGUAGCGAAAGUUACGCUAAUACCGCAUACGAUCUAAGGAUGAAAGCAGGGGAUCGCAAGACCUUGUGCUCCUGGAGCGGCCGAUAUCUGAUUAGCUAGUUGGUGAGGUAAAGGCUCACCAAGGCAACGAUCAGUAGCUGGUCUGAGAGGACGACCAGCCACACUGGAACUGAGACACGGUCCAGACUCCUACGGGAGGCAGCAGUGGGGAAUUUUGGACAAUGGGGGCAACCCUGAUCCAGCAAUGCCGCGUGAGUGAAGAAGGCCUUCGGGUUGUAAAGCUCUUUUGUCAGGGAAGAAAAGGCUGUGGCUAAUAUCCAUAGCUGCUGACGGUACCUGAAGAAUAAGCACCGGCUAACUACGUGCCAGCCGCCGCCGUAAUAC